UAAAAAUUAAUCUAAAAUUAAAGUGAACAUGUUUGAUAAUUUUCUAAAAAAAUCUAAUUUGAAUAUUAACCUAAACUAAAGGAUUAUCAUCUAAUUUUCCAAAAAAAAAACAAUUAAACCCUAAUUGUCUAAGUGUUAUUUUUUCAGGUAUUUUUCAUUAUGAAAUGAAAUGCAUUAAAGUAUUAGAAUGUUUUCCAAAAACUUAACAA
rnacentral:lncRNA from 1 species